AUAUGUGAGAACGUAAUACUAGAUUGUUAAUGUGUGCGUAUGCACACAUGCAUCACUGUCUCGUUUCUUUCAUCAUUUUAUCAAGUGUUCUCAGUUGUUUGUAGUAUCCUUCACGAAGUCAUUACGUAAACGAGAGUUGACUCAUGCGAUUAUAAAUCAGAUUAUCAAAUAUGGCAGCACCGACAUUAACAUUGAACAAUGGUAAUAAAAUUCCUGUAUUAGGUCUUGGUACUUGGCAAGGUGGUGAUGAUCCAUCGAUAGUUGCACAAGCUAUUAAAGAUGCAGUCGAUGCUGGAUAUAGACAUUUUGAUUGUGCCUAUAUAUAUGGAAAUGAACGUGAGAUAGGCAAUGCUUUAAAAGAAAAAAUUGCAGAAGGUGUUGUAAAAAGAGAAGAUCUUUAUAUUACAACAAAGCUAUGGAACACGGCGCAUAAGAAAGAAAAAGUAAUACCUAUGUGUAAAGAAUCAUUGAAAAAUUUUGGUUUCGAUUAUAUAGAUUUAUAUCUUAUACAUUGGCCAGUAGCUUAUACAGAUGAUGCAAAAGGACUUUGGCCAGUUGAUGAAAAGGGGAAUCCUUUGUAUGGAUAUGAAGAUUAUAUUGAUACUUGGAAAGGCAUGGAGGAAUGUGUAAAAUUGGGAUUAACAAAAAGCAUUGGUCUUAGUAAUUUCAAUUCUGUACAAAUUGAUCGUAUAUUAUCCAUUGCAACUAUAAAACCAGUAAUGAAUCAAGUCGAAUGUCAUAUCAAUUUGAAUCAAAAAAAGUUAAGAGAAUUUUGUGCUAAACGUAAUAUAGCUAUUACAGCUUAUAGUCCUUUAGGUUCUCCAUUACGUCCUUGGGCAAAAUCUGAUGAUCCACAAGUUAGCAUUGAUCAAACCAAAGAAAUUGCAAAAAAAUAUAAAAAGUCACCAGCACAAGUUAUACUUAGAUAUUUGAUUGAUAUUGGUACCAUACCAAUACCUAAAUCAGCAUCCAAGGCACGCAUCAAAGAGAAUAUAAAUAUUUUUGAUUUUAAACUUACACCCGAGGAAAUAGCAAUUAUAGAUUCGUUUGAUUGCGGUGUAAGAGUUUGUCCAGCUAAAGAAUUCAAAGGCCACAAGGAUUAUCCAUUUAAUAUAGAAUUUUAAAGAUGAUUAUAUGACUUAUAUAGUUAUAAUCAAUACAUGAUAUUAUUAUUGUUAUUGUUAUUAUUAUUGUUAUCUAUUAAAGUGCUCAAUAACGCAAUUAUCGACAUUUCAACGUAUUCCUAUCUUAUAUCCACAAAUUGUUAUAUAAUAACUUUUCUCUAUAAAUAAGAGAAAUGAAUGAUAGAUAAUACAGAUUAAAGAUAGCAUUAAAGCAAUACACUUCUAAAAGUAA